rnacentral:tRNA from 1 species
CCGGGUGCUGGGCGGCGGCGAGAUCGCGACCCGGCUGCUGGGCCGGCGCCCGGCGAACUGGGAGCUGCUGCCGUUCGGCGCCGAACAGCCGGC